UUACCACAAAACAUUGGAGCUUGGCGGAUGCCGUGAGUUAGCUGAAGUUGUAACUGAUGAUGUAAAUAGUAGCGGCAGCCACUGUGAGAGGGAAAACCCUGAGGAGGAUGAUGCAGAGAACAAUGAAAUGCUUGGUGGCAUAUUUGCCUUUUCUGAAGAAGGUUGAUUUAUAGCUUUUAUAGCUUCCCUUUGGUCCGGAUCAUGGAAGAAGUGCAAUGGUUCAGUAGGUGUGCAUAAAUGGGGGUGAUCAGAGCACAGAAUGUGAUCAUCCCCCUUUCUCUCUUGUACAUUUUGUAGAUGGAAAUUCAUAAAUUCAUGGGCAUGGGGUUGGGUUUGAA